CCUACGGGAGGCAGCAGUGAGGAAUAUUGGUCAAUGGGCGCGAGCCUGAACCAGCCAAGUAGCGUGAAGGAUGACUGCCCUACGGGUUGUAAACUUCUUUUAUAAAGGAAUAAAGUGAGGCACGUGAGCCUUUCUGUAUGUACUUUAUGAAUAAGGAUCGGCUAACUCCGUGCCAGCAGCCGCGGUAAUACGGAGGAUCCGAGCGUUAUCCGGAUUUAUUGGGUUUAAAGGGCGCGUAGGGGGGGUGUUAAGUCAGGUGUGAAAGGUCGGGGCUCAACCGUAGAAUUGCAGUUGAUACUGGCAGUCUUGAGUACAGUUGAGGUAGGCGGAAUUCGUGGUGUAGCGGUGAAAUGCUUAGAUAUCGCGAAGAACUCCGAUUGCGAAGGCAGCAUACUAAACGGGCACUGACAUUGAUGCUCGAAAGUGUGGGUAUCAAACAGGAUUAGAUACCCCUGUAGUC
rnacentral:rRNA from 1 species